rnacentral:rRNA from 1 species
UACGGGGGGGGGCAAACGUUGUUCGGAAUUACUGGGCGUAAAGCGAGUGUAGGCGGUCUGAAAAGUCGGAUGUGAAAGCCCCGGGCUCAACCCGGGAAGUGCAUUCGAAACUGCCAGGCUAGAGUGUCGGAGAGGUUGGUGGAAUUCUCGGUGUAGAGGUGAAAUUCGUAGAUAUCGAGAGGAACACCGGUGGCGAAGGCGGCCAACUGGACGAACACUGACGCUGAGACUCGAAAGCGUGGGGAGCAAACAGG